AUAGAUUAUUGGAUCAACAAAGAAAAUUGUAUGGCAUUGUUCUGUAAAGCUGCAGAUGUAUUGGAUCACGGUGCAUUUGCUUGAAAACUGUUUCGUGCUUGUGUAAUUCUAUUGUGGUCAGUGUCUUAAGAAUAGGCAGUUUGUUGCCCCUAAACCCUCUGUGCAUUGCAUACCUGAUCUCUUUUCCUUUAUGGACAUUUGAAUUAUGGUGAAGACUCUAGAUGAUUUUGGGUAUUCUGCAUCAAAACGUUGUGAGGCAUGGCUGAAGGUAAAGCGUGAUUAUGUUGAAGGAAUAGGUGACAGUCUUGAUCUUGUUCUUAUUAGUGCUUGGCAUGGAAAUGGAAGAAAAGUUGGAUGGUACAAAUUUUGAGUUUUUUGUUCUGUUGUCAUUUUUUAUGAAAUCCAUGGCGUUUGACAUUUCACAAGGAUAUUUCAUAUUUGUGGAUUCCAUCGUUCAAGUAUAGUCCUUUCCUCGUGGCGUGCUACAAUCCAGAUACUGAAGAAUUUCAAAGUGUCUGUCGCAUCAUGUCUGGUUUUUCAGAUUCAUUUUAUUUAGAGGUACUCUUUUUUUGUUUGGUUUCAUGCCCAGCUCAUACA